rnacentral:rRNA from 1 species
AACGUAGGAGACAAACGUUAUCCGGAGUUACUGGGCGUAAAGGGCGUGUAGGCGGUAUGUUAAGUCUGGCGUGAAAGCUCUCGGCUAAACCGGGAGAGGUCGUUGGAUACUGGCAAACUAGAGGAUGGUAGAGGCGUGUGGAAUUCCGGGUGUAGUGGUGAAAUGCGUAGAGAUCCGGAGGAACACCAGUGGCGAAGGCGACAGCGCUGGGCCAUACCUGGACGCUAAAGCGCGACAGCAUGGGGAGCAAACGGG